GGCGGACGGGUGAGUAACACGUGGGUAACCUGCCCUUAAGUGGGGGAUAACAUUUGGAAACAGAUGCUAAUACCGCAUAGAUCCAAGAACCGCAUGGUUCUUGGCUGAAAGAUGGCGUAAGCUAUCGCUUUUGGAUGGACCCGCGGCGUAUUAGCUAGUUGGUGAGGUAAUGGCUCACCAAGGCGAUGAUACGUAGCCGAACUGAGAGGUUGAUCGGCCACAUUGGGACUGAGACACGGCCCAAACUCCUACGGGAGGCAGCAGUAGGGAAUCUUCCACAAUGGACGCAAGUCUGAUGGAGCAACGCCGCGUGAGUGAAGAAGGCUUUCGGGUCGUAAAACUCUGUUGUUGGAGAAGAAUGGUCGGCAGAGUAACUGUUGUCGGCGUGACGGUAUCCAACCAGAAAGCCACGGCUAACUACGUGCCAGCAGCCGCGGUAAUACGUAGGUGGCAAGCGUUAUCCGGAUUUAUUGGGCGUAAAGCGAGCGCAGGCGGUUUUUUAAGUCUGAUGUGAAAGCCCUCGGCUUAACCGAGGAAGCGCAUCGGAAACUGGGAAACUUGAGUGCAGAAGAGGACAGUGGAACUCCAUGUGUAGCGGUGAAAUGCGUAGAUAUAUGGAAGAACACCAGUGGCGAAGGCGGCUGUCUGGUCUGUAACUGACGCUGAGGCUCGAAAGCAUGGGUAGCGAACAGGAUUAGAUACCCUGGUAGUCCAUGCCGUAAACGAUGAAUGCUAGGUGUUGGAGGGUUUCCGCCCUUCAGUGC
rnacentral:rRNA from 1 species